UACGUAGGGGGCGAGCGUUGUCCGGAAUUACUGGGCGUAAAGGGCGCGCAGGCGGCCGUGUAAGUCCGCUGUGAAAGACCGGGGCUCAACCCCGGGGUGUCAGCGGGGACUGCACGGCUGGAGUCCCGGAGAGGGAGGCGGAAUACCUGGUGUAGCGGUGGAAUGCGUAGAGAUCCGGAAGAACACCGGUGGCGAAGGCGGCCUGCUGGGCUAUGGCUGACACUGAGGCGCGACAGCGUGGGGAGCAAACAGG
rnacentral:rRNA from 1 species